UACAGAGGUCUCAAGCGUUGUUCGGAUUCAUUGGGCGUAAAGGGUGCGUAGGCGGCGCGGUAAGUCGGGUGUGAAAUUUCGGAGCUUAACUCCGAAACUGCAUUCGAUACUGCGGUGCUUGAGGACUGGAGAGGAGACUGGAAUUCAUGGUGUAGCAGUGAAAUGCGUAGAGAUCAUGAGGAAGACCAGUGGCGAAGGCGGGUCUCUGGACAGUUCCUGACACUGAGACACGAAGGCCAGGGGAGCAAACGGGG
rnacentral:rRNA from 1 species